AGUGUAACCAAUCCGAAUUAUGACUUCCUACAUGGGAUACUUUUUAUUUGUUUUACCUCUUAAGCAUAUGUUCUGUCACUACACGAUUCAAUAACUACUUUAUACUGAAAGCUGAAGCUGUCUUCAAAUAAUCCACGGAGAACUCAUUGUACGUGUUUUUUUUUUAUAUUUGUAAAGCCAUGAAAUCUAAAUUUUGAUCUAGUGCUUUGUUUUAUUUUAGGAUUUAUCAGUCUUUUCAUAUUCAGUCAGGUUCAAGAACUCCAAUGUUGUGUAUUAUUUAUAAUUGCCUGUAUAUCUUUUAUUUUGGAAAGCUGUCUUUUUUUAUUCCCUGUUGCUUCAGUGUUGUCUUGUCAUCAUUUUGUUUUGAAUCUUGAUCUGUUUUUUCCUGCUGGGUUGAAUCUGGUUCGUUUUCCUUUCUUUUUCUUGUUUCCCUCGUUAAUUUCUGUUGCCUUUCCUCUCACCUGCAUCUUGUUUCUAAUCAACAACCAGCUCCUUAUUUUUCAGUAAACUCUUCUUAAAUUCCCCAGUCAGUCAGAUCCUAUUUUAUGGUUUUUCCUGUACUGUAUUAUUUUGGAUUUACCCCUGGACUUCAGUUUUUGGACGUUUUUUUUGUGUGUUUAUUUUUACCUGUCUCCUUCACCGUUUGUGACAAAAUGAAUAGAAAGAAAUUGUUCAACGAGCCCUUUAUCCACGGUUCUUCUGAUUUCUUUUUACUUUAAUUAAUCAAUGCUCAACCGAAUCCCGAUGGGAAAAAAAGCACCUGGCCGCCAGCUUAAGGAAACUACAGCAGAUCUACCAGAGCUUCUCUAGAAGGCGAACUUCCACUCCCUGAGGCCGGCGAUCCUGUCCCAAAACCCGGAGAGCCACCGAGAGAACCCGGUGAUCCAGUGCCAAUCCCAGGGGAAAUGGUUCCUGGAGAUCCAGAGAAGGAACCUGGCGAUGAGAUCCCCGAGCCUGGGGAAGGGGUACCAGUGGAGCUGGGCAUGGACCCGGCUCCCUCUGGCGCUGGACGAGUGCCGGAGCGGCUGGUUUCCUCGUAGGCCUUCCGGCACCAUGUGUCCGGGAAAAUGGAGGCCGAUUUUGUUGGGGAGGAGUCAGGCAUCUGUGAGAAUGUAUAGAUAGUUUCACUGUUAGGAAAGACAUGCUAUAUCUUAAAGGCGACCCAUUAUGGUUCCUUAAACAGGUUAGGAAAAGUCUGUGGGCUGAACGAAACAUGUUCAUUACAUUUUUUAUACAAAAUCAUUCUUGGACAAUGAGGUUUUAAUGUGUUCAGUCCUGAAUAUUUUGAACUCCUUUCAGUUUGAGCUGUUUUAGGGCCUCUUGUCACUUUAAAUCCAAAUAAGCUGCUGCUGGCCACGACCCCCCCUCAACAUUGACACUCAAACAGAUGUGCAACUAUACAACCGUAGAUCUUUGAAAAGCAGAAGUGGAGUCUCAUGCACAAGCACCAAGAAUGCAGCAAGUGGUUUCUGGAUGGUAAAGCAACAACAAAACAUUUGUCUUUUCCAGCAGCCAUUGUACAGCACAGUGGUAAAACCAGCUGACCAAACAUGCUGGAGCUCAGCUUGGGUUCCCAGGUAAUGGGGCUGGGCUCGGCUGGGGUUGCUAGGUAACGGCACAGUGCCCGUUGAUUGUUUGGGACUCAUUUUCUAAACACCAAAAAACAUCAACUUAUUGCCAGAAAAUGAGUGAGCAGGUAUUUUUUUUCUUAGUGAUUAGACUGUUUCUAGAAGCAGCUGAGACCCAAAUGGAAGUACAAAAAUUUGUGAAAAGUGAAUUUUGCAUAAUAGAUCCUGCUUUAAAACACUGUGUGAACAUAAAUAUAAGAGGUUGCUAAGGGACAGGAAAGUAAUGUUAAGGUCGACAUAAAGGUGAGAGCAUAUGACCUGUUUUAAGCUGUUGCCCUUUUGCUAGCAAGGCAAAACAAUGAGGCUCUUCCUUUUCUUGAACAAGCAGAGCAGCGUUACUAACAUUUCUGAGUGCACAGUAUGACUCUGAAUACGUUAUAAAUUGAAUAAAAGCUCUUAUCUCC